GGGGGUGUAGCUCAGUGGUAGAGCAUUUGCCUACCAUGCAUAAGGCACGGGUUUCAUUCCCU
rnacentral:tRNA from 1 species